rnacentral:rRNA from 1 species
UGAGUAACACGUAGGUAACUUACCUCUAAGACGAGGAUAACGACUGGAAAACGGUCGCUAAAAACUGGAUAGGAUCAUUUGAGGCAUCUCGAAUGAGUUUAAAAGGGCUUUCAAGCCACACUAGAAGAAAGGCCUGCGGCGCAUUAGCUAGUUGGUGGGGUAGAGGCCCUACCAAGGCGAUGAUGCGUAGCCGGACUGAGAGGUCGAACGGCCACAUUGGGACUGAGACACGGCCCAAACUCCUACGGGAGGCAGCAGGUAGGGAAUUUUCGGCAAUGGGGGAAACCCUGACCGAGCAACGCCGCGUGAAUAGAAGACGUAUUUCGGUAUGUAAAGUUCUUUUAUUAAGGAAGAAUAUCACGGAUAGGAAAUGAUCUGUGAGUGACGGUACUUAAUGAAUAACGCCCCGGCUAACUAUGUGCCAGCCGCCGC